rnacentral:rRNA from 1 species
GAUUAACGCUAGCGGCAGGCCUAAUACAUGCAAGUCGAACGGCAGCACGGGUAGCAAUACCUGGUGGCGAGUGGCGCACGGGUGCGUAACGCGUAUGCAAUCUACCUGUAACUGGGGAAUAGCCUUCCGAAAGGAAGAUUAAUACCGCAUAACAUCACGAAGUGGCAUCACUUUGUUGAUCAAAUCUCCGGAGGUUACAGAUGAGCAUGCGUGACAUAGCUAGUUGGUGAGGUAACGGCUCACCAAGGCUACGAUGUCUAGGGGGUCGUNAGGAGGA